rnacentral:rRNA from 1 species
AGAUUGAACGCUGGCGGCAUGCUUUACACAUGCAAGUCGAACGGCAGCGCGGGGCAACCUGGCGGCGAGUGGCGAACGGGUGAGUAAUAUAUCGGAACGUACCCAAGAGUGGGGGAUAACGUAGCGAAAGUUACGCUAAUACCGCAUACGAUCUAAGGAUGAAAGCAGGGGACCGCGAAGGCCUCGUGCUCCUGGAGUGGCCGAUAUCUGAUUAGCUAGUUGGUAGGUAAAGGCCUACCAAGGCUACGAUCAGUAGCUGGUCUGAGAGGACG